rnacentral:rRNA from 1 species
UUUGAUCCUGGCUCAGAUUGAACGCUGGCGGCAUGCCUUACACAUGCAGGUCGAACGGUAACGCGGGGGCAACCCUGGCGACGAGUGGCGAACGGGUGAGUAAUACAUCGGAACAUAUCCAGUAGCGGGGGAUAACCUAUCGAAAGAUGGACUAAUACCGCAUACGAUCUACGGAUGAAAGCAGGGGACCGCAAGGCCUUGCACUAUUGGAGUGGCCGAUGUCGGAUUAGCUAGUUGGUGAGGUAAAGGCUUACCAAGGCGACGAUCCGUAGCUGGUCUGAGAGGACGAUCAGCCACACUGGAACUGAGACACGGUCCAGACUCCUACGGGAGGCAGCAGUGGGGAAUUUUGGACAAUGGGCGCAAGCCUGAUCCAGCCAUGCCGCGUGAGUGAAGAAGGCCUUCGGGUUGUAAAGCUCUUUCGGUGAAGACGAAACGGUUAGCGCUAAUAACGCUGACUAAUGACGGUACUCACAGAAGAAGCACCGGCUAACUACGUGCCAGCAGCCGCGGUAAUACGUAGGGUGCAGGCGUUAAUCGGAAUUACUGGGCGUAAAGCGUGCGCAGGCGGUUUGCUAAGACAGGUGUGAAAUCCCCGAGCUUAACUUGGGAAUUGCGCUUGUAACUGGCAAGCUAGAGUGUGGCAGAGGGGGGUGGAAUUCCACGUGUAGCAGUGAAAUGCGUAGAUAUGUGGAGGAACACCGAUGGCGAAGGCAGCCCCCUGGGUUAACACUGACGCUCAUGCACGAAAGCGUGGGGGAGCAAACAGGAUUAGAUACCCUGGUAGUCCACGCCCUAAACUAUGUCAACUAGUUGUCGGGGAAGAGAUUCCUUGGUAACGAAGCUAACGCGUGAAGUUGACCGCCUGGGGGAGUACGGCCGCAAGGUUAAAACUCAAAGGAAUUGACGGGACCCGCACAAGCGGUGGAUUAUGUGGAUUAUUCGAUGCAACGCGAA